rfam:Parcubacteria (Falkowbacteria) bacterium GW2011_GWF2_39_8 TT64_C0008, whole genome shotgun sequence.
UUUAGUAAUCAAUACUUACCAUAGAUAGCAGGCACAAAAAUAAGCCCUGCCGAGGUAAAAACAAAAGAUUAUUUGUUUUUUAUUUCUAUGGUGAAGCCAUAGAUUUUUUUGUUUUUAAGC